GACGAACGCUGGCGGCGUGCCUAAUACAUGCAAGUAGGACGCAGUUGCGAACGGGUGAGUAACGCGUAGGUAACUACCUAUUAGAGGGGGAUAACUAUUGGAAACGAUAGCUAAUACCGCAUACUAGUAGAUGGACCUGCGUUGUAUUAGCUAGUAGGUAGGGUAAUGGCCUACCUAGGCAACGAUACAUAGCCGAGCCGGAGAGGUGAUCGGGCAAACUGGGAAUGGGAAAACGGCCAGACUCCUACGGGAGGCAGCAGGGGGGAAUCUUCGGCAAUGGGGGGAACGCUGAACGAGCACAGCCGCGGUAGUGAAGAAGGUUUUCGGAUCGUAAAACUACGUUGUGAAGGAAGCGGUACUUACCCAGAAAGCGACGGCUAACUACGUGCCAGCAGCCGCGGUAAUAC
rnacentral:rRNA from 1 species